CUGGUUAGGAUACUCGGCUCUCAC
rnacentral:siRNA from 1 species